rnacentral:rRNA from 1 species
GGGCCCGCACAAGCAGUGGAUUAUGUGGUUUAAUUCGAAGCAACGCGAAGAACCUACCAGGGCUUGACAUCCAACUAACGAAGCAGAGAUGCAUUAGGUGCCCUUCGGGGAAAGUUGAGACAGGUGGUGCAUGGUUGUCGUCAGCUCGUGUCGUGAGAUGUUGGGUUAAGUCCCGCAACGAGCGCAACCCUUAUUGUUAGUUGCUACGCAAGAGCACUCUAACGAGACUGCCGUUGACAAAACGGAGGAAGGUGGGGACGACGUCAAAUCAUCAUGCCCCUUAUGUCCUGGGCUACACACGUAAUACAAUGGCGUUUAACAGAGGGAAGCAAAGCCGCGAGGCGGAGCAAAUCCCCAAAAGGCGUCUCAGUUCGGAUUGCAGGCUGCAACCCGCCUGCAUGAAGUCGGAAUUGCUAGUAAUCGCGGAUCAGCAUGCCGCGGUGAAUACGUUCCCGGGCCUUGUACACACCGCCCGUCACACCAUGAGAGUCGGGAACACCCGAAGUCGGUAGUCUAACCAGCAAUGGAGGGCGCCGCCGAAGGUGGGCUUGAUAAUUGGGGUGAAGUCGUAACAAGGUA